GUGAGGAAUAUUGGUCAAUGGGCAAAAGCCUGAACCAGCCAAGUCGCGUGAGGGAAGACGGUCCUAUGGAUUGUAAACCUCUUUUGUCGGGGAGCAACGGCGCCACGUGUGGCGGAAGGGAGAGUACCCGAAGAAAAAGCAUCGGCUAACUCCGUGCCAGCAGCCGCGGUAAUACGGAGGAUGCGAGCGUUAUCCGGAUUUAUUGGGUUUAAAGGGUGCGUAGGCGGAACGUUAAGUCAGCGGUAAAAUUGCGGGGCUCAACCCUGUACCGCCGUUGAAACUGGCGUUCUGGAGUGGGCGAGAAGUAUGCGGAAUGCGAGGUGUAGCGGUGAAAUGCAUAGAUAUCACGCAGAACUCCGAUUGCGAAGGCAGCAUACCGGCGCCCAACUGACGCUGAGGCACGAAAGCGUGGGGAUCGAACAGG
rnacentral:rRNA from 1 species